GAUGAACGCUGGCGGCGUGCCUAAUACAUGCAAGUCGAGCGAACGGACGAGAAGCUUGCUUCUCUGAUGUUAGCGGCGGACGGGUGAGUAACACGUGGAUAACCUACCUAUAAGACUGGGAUAACUUCGGGAAACCGGAGCUAAUACCGGAUAAUAUUUUGAACCGCAUGGUUCAAAAGUGAAAGACGGUCUUGCUGUCACUUAUAGAUGGAUCCGCGCUGCAUUAGCUAGUUGGUAAGGUAACGGCCCACCAAGGCGAUGAUCAGUAGCCGGUCUGAGAGGAUGAACGGCCACAUUGGGACUGAGACACGGCCCAGACUCCUACGGGAGGCAGCAGUGGGGAAUCUUCCGCAAUGGACGAAAGUCUGACGGAGCAACGCCGCGUGAGUGAUGACGGCCUUCGGGUUGUAAAGCUCUGUUAAUCGGGACGAAAGGCCUUCUUGCGAAUAGUGAGAAGGAUUGACGGUACCGGAAUAGAAAGCCACGGCUAACUACGUG
rnacentral:rRNA from 1 species